CUGUGUGUUAUAUGUGUCGACACGGGACUGCCGGUCUUAAGCCGGAGGAAGGUGGGGAUGAUGUCAAGUCAGCAUGGCCUUUAUAUCCCUGGGCUACACACACGCUACAAUGGCCAACACAAUAGGUUGCUAAGCCGCGAGGUGGCGCCAAUCCAUAAAGUUGGUCUCAGUUCAGAUUGUAGGCUGCAACCCGCCUGCAUGAAGAUGGAGUUGCUAGUAACCGCAGGUCAGCUAUACUGCGGUGAAUACGUUCCCGGGCUU
rnacentral:rRNA from 1 species